AGCCCGAUGGUGUAAUUGGCAACACAGCUGGUUUUGGUCCAGUCAUUCUAGGUUCGAGUCCUAGUCGGGCUGCCA
rnacentral:tRNA from 1 species